rnacentral:rRNA from 1 species
AGAGUUUGAUCCUGGCUCAGGACGAACGCUGGCGGCGCGCUUAACACAUGCAAGUCGUGCGAUACCUUGAGCGAGUCUUACGACAAGUUCAAGGUAGAGCGGCGGACGGGUGAGUAACACGUGAGUAGCUGUCNUAAGGAGGGGGAUAACGCCUGGAAACGGGUGCUAAAACCCCAUAUGCCUCGCAAGAGGUGAAAGUGUAGCUUGCUACAGCCUUAGGGUGUGCUCGCGGCCUAUCAGCUAGUUGGUGAGGUAACGGCUCACCAAGGCUAAGACGGGUAGCCGGCCUGAGAGGGUGUACGGCCACACUGGAAUUGAGAUACGGUCCAGACUCCUACGGGAGGCAGCAGUGGGGAAUCUUGGGCAAUGGGCGAAAGCCUGACCCAGCGACGCCGCGUUGGGGAUGAAGCCCUUCGGGGUGUAAACCCAUGUUGUAGGGGACGAAGAAAGGGACGUACCCUAGCGAGGAAGCCCCGG